rnacentral:lncRNA from 1 species
ACAGAUCUCAUUUACAGACAAAGAAGUUGAUUGCAGAUUUGCCCCUAAUUUUCCAACAACUUCGAAAACACAACAGCUUGAAGAAUCAACGGAUUUUCCAUGAAUGAAAGAAUAAAGGUGAGCAAUUUGUACACUUUAGCGUAUCUGGUUAACUCCUCAUCUUCAAGCAGCUCCUGUUGCAGCUCCAUUUUGCGAAAGAUUCGAGCUUUUUCAACUGAUCAAGUUCAAGUAGCAAUCAACUUCGUUGUCAGCAGUUUGAGCUCCAAUUGUGAAGCUUAAGUCCUCGCUUCCACACAAUGCUAGUAAUAAACAAGAUGCAUCUUCCUCUACU